AUAUUACUAGUAUAAUUAUUAUACUACUUUUCCAAAGUAGUGAUCUACCUAUAGUAGGUAAUGUA
rnacentral:tRNA from 4 species